UACGACUAUAUCACGUUGAAACGUUAGUUCCCGUCUGAUCACUGAAGUUAAGCAACGUCGAGCCUGGUCAGUACCUAGAUGGACGACUGUUUGGGAAUACCAGAUGCUGUAAG